rnacentral:rRNA from 1 species
UGGGGAAUUUUGGACAAUGGGGGAAACCCUGAUCCAGCCAUCCCGCGUGUGCGAUGAAGGCCUUCGGGUUGUAAAGCACUUUUGGCAGGAAAGAAACGUCGCGGGUUAAUACCCCGCGAAACUGACGGUACCUGCAGAAUAAGCACCGGCUAACUACGUGCCAGCAGCCGCGGUAAUACGUAGGGUGCAAGCGUUAAUCGGAAUUACUGGGCGUAAAGCGUGCGCAGGCGGUUCGGAAAGAAAGAUGUGAAAUCCCAGAGCUUAACUUUGGAACUGCAUUUUUAACUACCGGGCUAGAGUGUGUCAGAGGGAGGUGGAAUUCCGCGUGUAGCAGUGAAAUGCGUAGAUAUGCGGAGGAACACCGAUGGCGAAGGCAGCCUCCUGGGAUAACACUGACGCUCAUGCACGAAAGCGUGGGGAGCAAACAGGAUUAGAUACCCUGGUAGUCCACGCCCUAAACGAUGUCAACUAGCUGUUGGGGCCUUCGGGCCUUGGUAGCGCAGCUAACGCGUGAAGUUGACCGCCUGGGGGGUACGGUCGCAA